rnacentral:rRNA from 1 species
AAUCAACGCUGGCGGCGUGCCUAACACAUGCAAGUCGAACGCGAAAGGGGCUUCGGCCCUGAGUAGAGUGGCGAACGGGUGAGUAACACGUGGGUGACCUACCUUCGAGUGGGGGAUAACGUCCCGAAAGGGACGCUAAUACCGCAUGACAUCCUGCCUUUGAAGAGGCGGAGAUCAAAGCCGGGGGAUCGCAAGACCUG